rnacentral:lncRNA from 1 species
CGUUGGAAACGCGGGAUCAGCGGGGUUGUCUCAGCAACAGUUGCCUCGAUGUCGCUGUAAAUGUUUAAUGGGAAGCUGAGCCACCUUCCCUGCCCAGAUGGCUCCGGUUCUGGAGCUGGGGAACACGGAUUAACGGGGAGCAGGCAGAUGUUGCCUCACCAGAAGGCUUAAAGCUGUAAUUAGAUGAGCUGGGAUGGGGCUGUGGGGGCAGAGCAUCCUCGGAAGGGUUCAGGGGGACACAGGAGGAGCUUCCGAGGUCCUGGUGAGGUCUGAACCUCCAAAAAUCCUGGGAUGAAAUGCAGGGUGCCGGAUGGAUUAACCCCCAGCUCUCCCAGUUUGUCCCAGCUCCCAGUCCAGGACAUCUGGUGAAGGUGAUGGGAAUUGUCAGGAUGGGAAACGGGUCCUGUUCUGUGGUGGGAGCUGCUGUGUGGAAUCCUGGCUGGAAGCACCUCAGGAUCUGCCUGGUGCUGAUGGUUUUUUUCCCCAAAAUAACAGCUGAUAUUAAUUCAGGCUGGGAGAUGCGUUACCAAUCCUAAAUGGAUUUUGGGAGAUUACACACUUUAAUAAAUUCAAUUUUUAAGAGAUCAAGCUAUAUAUAAAAAAAAUAAUAAAAGAAUUGAUGCAACAUAAGGCCCAUAAAAAAAAUUAAAGGAAAAUCCAGUGAAAAGAAGCUCCAGUUAUCCAUAAAAUAUUUCCUGAGACAAAACAACACCCAUAUGCCUGCUCAUUCAUAUAAAUCCAGCAUUUCUGGAGUUCUUUUUCCCACCUGUGCUGUGCAUGGAGAUGUUUAUAUGCAGGGAAGGGAUUUGGGAAUCUGUCUGAAGGCCUGGAAAGGCAGGAAAUAAUGUUGGGAUUGAUUUGGGGAUAGGUGGAAGGAUCUGCAGCCCAUUCCCAGGAGCUCCCUGGAGUUCAGCACCUGCGGGGAAGUGGAUGCUGAGCUCCAGGGAAUGUCAGGGAGAUGCCAGCAGAGCAGAGCCAGGGUUAUUUGGGGAACAGGACGGUCAGAAAUCGAGUUGGAGCCGUUUCACAAUGCCAGAGAGGCUCGGGAUUUGUUUACAGAGCCCGAUGACAGCGGCUCAGCACCGAGGGAAAAUGAGGAAUGAUGCAAGACGGCAGGAAUGGACAGUGGGAGACGGCAGCAUGGAAUCCUCACGGAAAAAAACUCUUCUGAGUGCUCAUAAAACAUCCCCGGGGACAAGAGAGCUGGGAGAGAGGAGCUUUCCGGGCUGUCCCAAACAGCAGGAAUGGCCUGAACUUCAUGGAUCUCCUGACCAAGGACUUUGGGAGUCCUGACCAAGAUCUGUUUCCUUUGAGAGGAGGGAAUUUGAAGAUUUUUAAAACUUUCUUGCCAUGAAUCUGACCCAAACCAGCUGCCAGGUAUUUGCUGUGCAUGGAGAGAGCGUGUGGAGGUGGAAUCCCUGUCCCUGGAGGUGUCUGAGGAGCUCCUGGAGGUGUCCGAGGGGCUCCUGGAGGUGUCCGAGGAGCUCCUGGAGGUGUCCGAGGAGCUCCUGGAGGUGUCUGAGGGGCUCCUGGAGGUGUCCAAGGAGCUCCUGGAGGUGGCCAAGGAGCUCCUGGGCUGAUGACAAGGUGGGGACGGGGCACAGCUUGGACUCCAUGAUCCUGGAGGGCUUUUCCAACCUCAGAGAUUUUGGGAUUCUAUUGCUGUACCUCCGGUGAUGAUGCUGGACCUUCAUCCAGGGCUUCCCACAGGAUGGAUCUCAUGGCAGCCAUCCCAAAUGUUCCGUUUAGAAAAAGAAGAAGAAAUUUGGGCCAGGCCAGCUCCCAAAUCCCUCUCCUGAGGCAGCUGAGUAGAUUUCAGCCCUUCCAGCAUUCCAAUCACCUCCUUGCCCCUGUUCCAGGAGCUCCAGCAGCUCCGUGUGCGCCCAGGGAAGGACGGACACGUGCUGGGAUGACACGAUGGGACAUCUGAGAUGGCCAAAAAGGACGAGUUUAUCUCUGCCAAGGCUCUGGGGUGCUCUGCUGUACGGAAUGGGAUUCCUGGGUGUGGAAAUAAAUGGAUUAAUGCUUCACCA